AUAAUGGGUCAGCGACUUAUAUUCUGUAGCAAGGUUAACCGAAUAGGGGAGCCGAAGGGAAACCGAGUCUUAACUGGGCGUUAAGUUGCAGGGUAUAGACCCGAAACCCGGUGAUCUAGCCAUGGGCAGGUUGAAGGUUGGGUAACACUAACUGGAGGACCGAACCGACUAAUGUUGAAAAAUUAGCGGAUGACUUGUGGCUGGGGGUGAAAGGCCAAUCAAACCGGGAGAUAGCUGGUUCUCCCCGAAAGCUAUUUAGGUAGCGCCUCGUGAAUUCAUCUCCGGGGGUAGAGCACUGUUUCGGCAAGGGGGUCAUCCCGACUUACCAACCCGAUGCAAACUGCGAAUACCGGAGAAUGUUAUCACGGGAGACACACGGCGGGUGCUAACGUCCGUCGUGAAGAGGGAAACAACCCAGACCGCCAGCUAAGGUCCCAAAGUCAUGGUUAAGUGGGAAACGAUGUGGGAAGGCCCAGACAGCCAGGAUGUUGGCUUAGAAGCAGCCAUCAUUUAAAGAAAGCGUAAUAGCUCACUGGUCGAGUCGGCCUGCGCGGAAGAUGUAACGGGGCUAAACCAUGCACCGAAGCUGCGGCAGCGACGCUGAUGCGUUGUUGGGUAGGGGAGCGUUCUGUAAGCCUGCGAAGGUGUGCUG
rnacentral:rRNA from 1 species